AUUUUCUACUUACCAUGACCUAACCUAAAGUUACUGAGGCUAAUCAACAAUUAGGUAUAGAUAACAAAAACCUAAAUGUCCUGUACUGCUGGAUUUAGGAAGGGCUCGCGCUUGUGUGGGGGUGGAUACCUCAAAAUCAAUCAACUGUGGCAAAUACUAGAGAUCUGGGGCGCUGGCUUUAGGGAUUUCAACCAAGAGCUUCAGUGAGGUCCAACGCUGAUGUUGGGUCAUGAAUCCUUAAGCUGAUCCUGUUCACUACAGCAGCCUUCCUCACAUCCACGUGGAGAACAUUUCAGUUGAGUAAGCUGCGACACACCAACACAG